AGCUCACAGCUUCUUGCGAAGAUAUACCCUCCAUCUCAGGUUAACUCUGCACACCUUCAGAUUUCUGGCUAAAGAUGGCUGCCGUAGAAAGAUUUCUCCAGAGUUCCCUUCUCCCAUCAUCCAGCAGAGCACUGAGUGAACAAGGGAAGAAGCCAAGACAAUGCUGACAUUUGAGGGGAGAUCGUGAAGUAGAAUAGAAGUUCCUUGAAGGGAGAAGCCCCUGAAGGUCAGUGUUGUUGGGGAAGGAAUCUUCUCCGAG